UUGAUUUAUUUUCAAAAUUUACUCAGACUGCAAGGUUACGCAAUGGUUUGGUUUGGUCCGCCGGGGGUUAACCCGCCCGAAGGCAGGGUCGCCCCCGAGGCAACUGAGUCGGUAGACAAAGGGUGUGAUGAUCGCCCGCGAGGCCCCGGAGGACGCCCGCGGGUAACUAUGCACUUUAAUGAUCCCUCCGCAGGUUCACCUACGGAGA
rnacentral:misc_RNA from 1 species